rnacentral:rRNA from 1 species
CUCAGUUCGGAUUGGAGUCUGCAACCCGACUCCAUGAAGCUGGAUUCGCUAGUAAUCGCGCAUCAGCCACGGCGCGGUGAAUACGUUCCCGGGCCUUGUACACACCGCCCGUCAAGCCAUGGAAGCCGGGAGUGCCUGAAGUGCGUGACCGCAAGGAACGCCCUAGGGUAAAACCGGUGACUGGGGCUAAGUCGUAACAAGGUAGC